rnacentral:rRNA from 1 species
UACGUAGGGGGCAAGCGUUAUCCGGAUUUACUGGGUGUAAAGGGGGCGCAGACGGCGAUGCAAGCCAGGAGUGAAAGCCCGGGGCCCAACCCCGGGACUGCACUUGGAACUGCGUGGCUGGAGUGCAGGAGGGGCAGGCGGAAUCCCUGGUGUAGCGGUGAAAUGCGUAGAUAUCAGGAGGAACACCGGUGGCGAAGGCGGCCUGCUGGACUGCAACUGACGUUGAGGCCCGAAAGCGUGGGGAGCAAACAGG